UUCAUGAUGAAUUCUUUACCGCCCCAGGCUGAAAGUCUGUUGAAUGGUUAUUCCUGACUUGAA
rnacentral:snoRNA from 1 species